rnacentral:misc_RNA from 1 species
GAAAUGCGAUAAGUAAUAUGAAUUGCAGAUAUUCGUGAAUCAUCGAAUCUUUGAACGCACAUUGCGCCCUUUGGUAUUCCAAAGGGCAUGCCUGUUUGAGCGUCAUUUCUCCCUCAAACCUUCGGGUUUGGUGUUGAGCGAUACGCUGGGUUUGCUUGAAAGAAAGGCGGAGUAUAAACUAAUGGAUAGGUUUUUUUCCACUCAUUGGUACAAACUCCAAAAUUCUUCCAAAUUCGACCUCAAAUCAGGUAGGACUACCCGCUGAACUUAAGC